rnacentral:rRNA from 1 species
UACGUAGGGUGCGAGCGUUAAUCGGAAUUACUGGGCGUAAAGCGUGCGCAGGCGGUUUGUUAAGUCCGUUGUGAAAUCCCCGGGCUCAACCUGGGAAUGGCGGUGGAAACUGGCGAGCUAGAGUGUGUCAGAGGGGGGUGGAAUUCCACGUGUAGCAGUGAAAUGCGUAGAUAUGUGGAGGAAUACCGAUGGCGAAGGCAGCCCCCUGGGAUAACACUGACGCUCAUGCACGAAAGCGUGGGGAGCAAACAGG